AAAGGACAUGGGUUGACCUCUACUGUAUUUGCAAGUUAGAUUUUUUUUCCACAUGAAAUCUUGAUCUAUGUGAGGGUUGGAGGAGAAAAAGAGGUUUUGUAUAGCAAGAGAGGCUCUACGUGGGAUUAAUGUUGAAUUACAAUGUUUUAGAGAGCUCAGCUAUAUAAACCCUAAUUGCGUUCACCAUAUAACCUUUUUUGAACAUUUCCAGAUGCUGCCUGGAAAUGGUUAGCACAGGCUGAACAUGAUAUGGUUGCCAGCCAUCAUCUCGAGAGUCUAGAUUUGCUACUUGAAAUAUGCAGCAUAUGAAAUGUGAAAACGACAUGUCAUAUUGCAUCCUAAUUAGAAAUGGAGAACAAAGAACUCCACAGGACCUGCAGUUUCUCUCUACUGAUGAGAAAAGGGAUUGCUCUGAAGAAGGUCUGGCUUUUAACGCUGGGGCCAACAGCAGCCUAAAGCCUUCCAGCUCACCUGGGAGGAUGCCUGUGAGCCAGCAUGCCAUGAGAAGAUGAACUCUGCAUGGGUUAACGCUGCCCUGGGUUAGCAAUGCUUUUCUUUUCCCUGAUUUCUCCCUGCCUUUUUAACUAAUACUUAGUUUCUAGUGCUGCAUCCUCUGUUUUGCAAAACAAGUCUUAACGUGAACAGAGAGCUCCUAUGCCUCAGAAUGCAGAAUGAACGUAGCUACCAUUUAGGUCACGCCAAGCUUUACCCUUGUGACUUGAGGAAAAUUGUGUUUGAUGAAAUUCUGCCUAACUUGUUUUUUUUUUUUUAAUUAUUAUUAUUUUAUUUUUUUAAAUUAAGGAUGGAACAUAUAUAUAAUUAGUUGACAUAUCAAAGUAUAUAAUUCAAAUGAGAAUAGCAUACUUCUGGAAGACAAUGCAAGUGUAGUCAUCAAGAUUUCAAUAAAAAUAUAUUUAUUACCUGUGAUUAGCCUACU
rnacentral:lncRNA from 1 species